GUCAGACUUUUAUCAGAAAUAUGAGAAUUUUUGAGUUUCAAAACCUGGUUAAUUUCUUUGACAUUUUAGUUUGCCACAUGCUUAUUAGAAGCAUUUUAAGAUUACAAAAGACAAGUGUAAAAAUGUCAGAUCGUACAGUUUAGCCUUAAGAUAGUAAGAUGAAUCAAAUAUG